CGGCGGGGCGGCUCCAUGUAUCUGCAUCGAUCUGCUGACCGACUUGCAUCCUCAUACUUGUGUCCGGUGCUUGCACUUGUGGACCAAUUGAUUCGGCUUCUGUGUUGGCUACCUAUUGGCGGCAUUUUUCGAAAUCGGCUUGUCCCUUCUCUCUACGACCGUCCCAUGUGGGAUGUCGAGGGAGCGUGAAGAGGCCCUAGUGUCCCCAGUCUGUUGCCCUCGAGGUGCCUAGACUUGGGCAUGUUAUGUGUCCCCGUGCCUUUGGAUUCUGUGCUCUCGGAUGGCUCUCGGUGCACUUGAACUUUGUGCCAUAUUUGACCAAUUUCGUUGAAAUGACGCUCGAUACCCCAUUUGUCGUGAGCGUGCCCAGUGCCGCCGUGUCGAUGGGGUUCGACGUCUUUGAGGGUUGUUACCUGGUUGAUCCAGCCAGUAGCAUAUGCUUG
rnacentral:misc_RNA from 1 species